GCCUCCGUAGCUCAGGGGAUAGAGCGUCUGCCUCCGGAGCAGAAGGCCACAGGUUCGAUUACUGUCGGGGGCACCA
rnacentral:tRNA from 1 species